rnacentral:ncRNA from 2 species
GGGUUUCUUCGUGGGAUUUGUCGACCGGCUUGCGACCACGUAAAAAAUCGCUAAAGAGGGUAAUCGUGGCUUCGG